GAUUUCUGGCUUGAAGCAUUUGGCCGGCCACGGUUUCGUGUGUUAGUGCUUUGUGCUCUGGCCAUCCUUCCAAUCGCUAUUGGCUUAUCUUCAUUGAUUGGUCAGUGGUAUUGGAUCUUUUACUUUGAAAAAAUUAGAGUGUUUCAAGCAGGCUUUAUGCUAUGAAUACAUUAGCAUGGAAUAAUAAUUUAGGACUUUGUUUCUAUUUUGUUGGUUUCUAGAGGCGAAGUAAUGAUUGAUAGGGAUAGUUGGGGGUGCUAGUAUUCAGCGGCCAGAGGUGAAAUUCUUGGAUUCGCUGAAGACUAACUUAUGCGAAAGCAUU
rnacentral:rRNA from 1 species